AUGGAUGACACGAACAUGCCAAUCAUGAGCUGGAACGUGAGAGGCCUCAACACGCCGGCGAGACGCUCGGUCAUCCGUGACACUGCACACGCACAUAAGUUGGCAAUCCUCUUCAUACAGGAAACCAAGAUUGAUUGCUGGUCCACCUGCUUAGCAAGAGAAAUAGGAGGCACAUGGUUGGACCAAUGUAUAGUUCUUCCAGCCAUUGGAACGAGGGGAGGGGCGGCCAUCUUCUGGAACUCUAGCAUGCUAUCGGUGCAGUCUCACUUGAUAGGGCAUUUCUCUAUCACAACCAAGGUGCAGAUAGGUCAAAUAGGAAAAGAUUUCUGGCUAACCACGGUUUUGUUGGGGAACGUAGCAGAAAUUCAAAAUUUUCCUACGAGUCACCAAGAUCUAUCUAUGGAGAAACUAGCAACGAGAGAGAGGAGAGUGCAUCUACAUACCCUUGUAGAUUGCUAA
rnacentral:rRNA from 1 species